GAUGAACGCUGGCGGCGUGCCUAAUACAUGCAAGUCGAGCGAACGGACGAGAAGCUUGCUUCUCUGAUGUUAGCGGCGGACGGGUGAGUAACACGUGGAUAACCUACCUAUAAGACUGGGAUAACUUCGGGAAACCGGAGCUAAUACCGGAUGAUAUUUUGAACCGCAUGGUUCAAAAGUGAAAGACGGUCUUGCUGUCACUUAUAGAUGGAUCCGCGCUGCAUUAGCUAGUUGGUAAGGUAACGGCUUACCAAGGCAACGAUGCAUAGCCGACCUGAGAGGGUGAUCGGCCACACUGGAACUGAGACACGGUCCAGACUCCUACGGGAGGCAGCAGUAGGGAAUCUUCCGCAAUGGGCGAAAGCCUGACGGAGCAACGCCGCGUGAGUGAUGAAGGUCUUCGGAUCGUAAAACUCUGUUACUAGGGAAGAACAUAUGUGUAAGUAACUGUGCACAUCUUGACGGUACCUAAUCAGGAAGCCACGGCUAACUACGUG
rnacentral:rRNA from 1 species